rnacentral:lncRNA from 1 species
UUCCCAUCUACCUAAUAAAGAAACGGUCCACACCAUUAAUAUAGUUCUGAAUGCACUGAAAUAUAAUUGUAUAUGUCUUUCCCACUAGAUUGGUACUUCCUUGGGGAUAGGAAUCAUGAAUUUCUAAACUUUAGCAUCCCAUUGUUUGCUUAAAUAAACCUUGAAAUACAAAAAUGAAAAGAAAGUACUGUCUUUGUCCAUAAGUGGCUCACAG